rnacentral:rRNA from 1 species
UGGACAAUGGAGGCAACUCUGAUCCAGCCAUGCCGCGUGAAGGAAUAAGGCCCUAUGGGUUGUAAACUUCUUUUAGACGGGACAAAACCCCUUUACGUGUAAAGGGUUGAUGGUACUGUCAGAAUAAGCAUCGGCUAACUUCGUGCCAGCAGCCGCGGUAAUACGAAGGAUGCAAGCGUUAUCCGGAAUUAUUGGGUUUAAAGGGUGCGAAGGCGGACUAAUAAGUCAGUGGUGAAAGCCUGCAGCUUAACUGCAGAAUUGCCAUUGAUACUGUUAGUCUUGAGUUCAGUUGAGGUAGGCGGAAUGUGUCAUGUAGCGGUGAAGUGCUUAGAUAUGACACGGAACACCGAUUGCGAAGGCAGCUUGCUAGGCUGUAACUGACGCUGAGGCACGAAAGCGUGGGGAGCAAACA